CCUGACCCGCUCCGAGUAAGCGCGCGGGGGGAACGGAUUAGUUCCCCGCACCGGGGCACCAUGGGUCAUGUGUACGCCACUGGUUGUAACCAUUGUUGGACUGGUUAAUGUCUAAUUGUUUGUGGGUGUCUCCCUUGCAUGGGAGCACCACAUAAAAGGAGAGUACCUGUCAUUAAACCUCAGUUCUACUUUACCCUUCAAAACGUAGCUUUGUCUCGUUCUUGAA